GAUGACAUUUCAAGCCUUGUAAAUUCAAUUGAAUAAAUUGAACCAUUUCCAGUAUUUAAAUUCACUGAUUGAACCAACAGCUUUUGCAUUAGUAAUAAUUUGUUGCAAACUUUCGAUAUCAUGAAAUUAGCCUCAAAGGGCCUCCAGAAACACAAUUAUAAAACGAGCUGAAGUGUGCACCUGGUAAGAUUCCAUCUACUAUCAAGGGAGAUUUACGUGGUACAAUCGCAUUUUUAGAAGGUACCCUUUGAUGAAUUGAUAGUAGUUUACUUGGUAGGAUCCCAUCUUUAGAAGGUACCCUUUGAUGAAUUGAUAGAGGUUUACUAGGUACAAUCCCAUCUUUAGAAGGUACACUUGAAUAAAUUGAUUGUAGUUUACAUGGUACAAUCCCAGCUUUAGAAGGUACCCUUUGAUGAAUUGAUAGUAGUCUACUUGGUGUGAUCCAUCUUUAGAAGGUAGUUUACUUGGUACAGUCCCAUCUUUAGAAGGUACCCUUUGAUGAAUUGAUAGUAGUCUACUUGGUGCGAUCCUAUCUUUAGAAGGUACCCUUUGAAGAAUUGAUAGAGGUUUACUUGGUGCGAUCCCAGCUUUAGAAGGUACCCCUUUGAUGAAUCGAUAGAGGUUUACUUGGUACGAUCCCGUCUUUAGAAGGUACCCUGUGAUGAAUUGAUAGUAGUCUAUUUGGUGCGAUCCCAUCUCCAGAUGGUACCAUCAUCACAUGCAGCAAGGAGGAUGUUACCGCUGGGAUUGAGAGCUGUCUGGCGGAUGGCUGAUACACACUUCGGAUGAGUAAAUGUGGCGCAUCUGUAGAAAUAUCAACAAGAUAAUAAAUCAUGAGACUUUGGAAUAUAAAUCAUUUAAAA